AUGCGAAAUGCAUGGAAAUUAAGAACUCCAUGGAAGGCUCGGAGAAGAAGCCCAAAGAAUAAGAGGAAUUUGGAAUGAAUGCUGGGGAACUCUUUUUUGGAUCUUACUGAGUAGAUCUGAAUUGUUUAUUUACUUGGCAUCCUUACUGUGUGUUCCAGAAUCAUUAGUGUCUUAUAUGUGGUGAAAUGGAAACACUUCAGAACCUGGAUCUGACCCAUUGGAUGCCUCUUGACUAUUCCACGCCCAGAGCUGAUAAGGUGAAGCAAAAAGUGUGCCUGAAGGAGACAGCUCUGUGAAAAAAUGGACUACGCAGGCACCCGAGAUGGUUAUUGGAUAGGAUGGACAUGAAGAAGGCAUCUCGAGAGCUUCAGAGUCUAUGAAAGUGUGGGCCAAGACCACUGAAAGGUGUUGACUUUUUCUCUCGGUUUGAGAAGACACCUUAGCCGGUGAGACCUCCAAGAAGAAUUAUGGUUGACCAAGGGAAGGUGGAGCAGGAUCUCUGGCCUAGGAUCUCACACCACUCCAUGGAAGUGACUAUGACUCACACAACCAAGUUCCAACAGAUCUAGGAUGAAUGCAUCUCCAGCUUUCACCUAUUGCUUGGGAAGCAGGCACAAGAGAACAGACAGCCAGUACACCGCAGUCAUCCAGCCUCUCUCCAGAAGCCAGUGAGGGGUCCGCCUGCCAGCUGCACACCUGCUCCAGCUUGCCCGAUCACGUGGCCCAUUAAGCAGCAAGCUCCCUUCCACGAGAUACCAAGGGCACAUACUCCUGGCAACAUCUUUGAGUGACCAGAGGAAGACAAGAAUGGCUGAAUCCUUCCUCCCUCCAGACCGCCUGGAAUGAGUGAAUUUCCAACAGGCUAAUCUGACAGAGGCAAUUCCACAACUGACAUUCCUUCUUGCAAGAUGACUCUAGUUUGUGUCAAGGUAACUCAAAGCUGACCAGCAACACAUGGGAAGAGGGGAAGGACAGCAGCUAGACCAGUGCAGGUGUGGUUUUCAGAUUGUGUAACUUAGCUCUUUCUGGCUGGUUAGGUGACAUCAAGUGAGUUAAUGAAUCAUGAAGGAUACUGUAACAGUUUUGCCCAUGAAGCAGAUAUGAUAAUUCCUACAAGGGAGCCACAAUAUGCAGCACUUAGUGGGUAACAGCAUUCCUUUUCAGUCACAGACAAAGGUGUUUCUAACUUCCCCUUUGUUUCAUUUUUUCAUGGGUACAAUGUAGUAAACAUGGGUGGAGCCAAGAAGCAACACAUUCAUGCAGGAGAUUGGGUUGUGACUGUCUGGGGAAGGUGUUGGGAGAGUUCAAAUAUCUUCCUGUGCAGGGCCAGAGCAGAAACUAAGCAGGUUGUCAUUUGAAGAGACAUACAAGAUUCGUGAGAGGUCCAGGGGGAGCAUAGGCUGAAUGCUGUCACUUCAUGAGUGUCAAUAACAGAGCAAACAUUAGGAUUGUGUGCAUUUGCAUGGUUGCUACUAGGACAGAAGUCAAUUAAAUUUAUUUUUAAACUUUUGGCAAGUCAAAAAAUACUAAGGGGGAAAUGACAGAAAACAAAAGCCUAGAUAGGGAUGUAGAGGUCCUCAGUUGUGUGAGACAAAGGUCUGAUAGCAGGUGAAAUGGAACCCAGCCAUCUGCUGCCAGGUGGCUGAGUCUGUUCACCAAGAGUAGCCUGUGGCCUGCCUACCAUCCCAUCAGCUCUGUUGGCUUUAAUGAUGGCCAAUGGUCCCUUUUUAUCUCUUCAUAUGACCUUUUCACCAUCGCAUGGUGACUUAAGAUUCUUGGGUGAUUCUGGGUGUUCAUUAGGGCAUGCUUUCUUGACAUAUGUUCAUUAAUUGCAGUCCCCACAGAGGCCAGAAGACUUCAGUCCCUUUAGAAGUAGAGUGGCAUUGAUUGGGAGCCACCAAAUGUGGACUCUAAGAUUAAAACCAAGUCCUCUGUACAAUCUGCAAGCAUUUUUAACUGCUGAACCAUCUUGCCAAU
rnacentral:sRNA from 1 species